GUAACAAUUAACGGCGUUAAACAACAAAGAGCUGACUCGACUGAGCGAAAACGAAUUUUAUUCAGCUGGGGCCGGUUGUAUAAAACUCUUAAUCACUUUUUUAAUCACUAUUUUGUAGUUAAAUAGUGAUUAACUCUCAAAUACGCGCUUCUUAUUGGAUGACGUUUCCACUAACUAUAGUUAACUUUAAUCACUUUUUUAUACAACCGGCCCCUGAUAUUUCAGUUGACUGUUUCGUCGUCCUGUUUUAGACGUCACGUCUUUACAGUAUACGAUAUUUUUUAAUAUCUGAGACAAUAUUAAUUUAU